AGAACCCUGGGGCAAAACAAAGGCAAAAUGGCUAAGAAGGAGGAGAAAUGUGCCAUCCAGGGAUCGCUGCAACCUGGCUAAUCCAACAUUCGGAAUCCUUUUACAAAGGGAAAUGGAACUUGACCACUUUAUUAUUUAUUUUGUAUAAAGACACAAAGGCAAUUGGCUUCUCGCUGCUCAGAGCUCAUUAGUGAUCAGUUUAGAUACAUGAGCCGUGGCAGCUUGGGAAUCAGUGUAGUCUGCAGCAUGCUCAGUACUGGGGCAGUUGUCUGGCCAAACAGGGUAGAGUCCCGGGAGGGUUCCUGUGUAUGUUAUAUAUAUAUAUAUAUAUUAAAAGGAGAGAUAAAAUAACUACACAGAAUAAACAUGCGGCACAAGGCAAAUAAUGAGAUGCCCAAUAUAAAUGUAUUUCUCUGUAUUUCCACUUUCAUCCAGGAGGCGCCACCUCUUCCUUUUCUUAUUCCCCAUUCCUAUCCAGGUACUAAGGUGCUUACAGCGCCAUUCUGAGGGUUGGAAUUGGAAGCGCAAGAGAACGGACGGCUGCAGUUGGGAGAUUCUCCUUAUAAAGCGUCACUGUGUAUGAGGGAAAUAUGCGGCCAAACGGGGGCCACAAGUGCCAGGGCCCAGGAGCGCAUUUAAAUGAGCUGAAGAGGAGGAUGAACAUCUAGAGAGAACCCUGGGGCAAAACAAAGGCAAAAUGGCUAAGAAGGAGGAGAAAUGUGCCAUCCAGGGAUCGCUGCAACCUGGCUAAUCCAACAUUCGGAAUCCUUUUACAAAGGGAAAUGGAACUUGACCACUUUAUUAUUUAUUUUGUAUAAAGACACAAAGGCAAUUGGCUUCUCGCUGCUCAGAGCUCAUUAGUGAUCAGUUUAGAUACAUGAGCCGUGGCAGCUUGGGAAUCAGUGUAGUCUGCAGCAUGCUCAGUACUGGGGCAGUUGUCUGGCCAAACAGGGUAGAGUCCCGGGAGGGUUCCUGUGUAUGUUAUAUAUAUAUAUAUAUAUUAAAAGGAGAGAUAAAAUAACUACACAGAAUAAACAUGCGGCACAAGGCAAAUAAUGAGAUGCCCAAUAUAAAUGUUUUUCUCUGUAUUUCCACUUUCAUCCAGGAGGCGCCACCUCUUCCUUUUCUUAUUCCCCAUUCCUAUCCAGGUACUAAGGUGCUUACAGCGCCAUUCUGAGGGUUGGAAUUGGAAGCGCAAGAGAACGGACGGCUGCAGUUGGGAGAUUCUCCUUAUAAAACGUCACUGUGUAUGAGGGAAAUAUGCGGCCAAACGGGGGCCACAAGUGCCAGGGCCCAGGAGCGCAUUUAAAUGAGCUGAAGAGGAGGAUGAACAUCUAGAGAGAACCCUGGGGCAAAACAAAGG